rnacentral:rRNA from 1 species
AGUGAACGCUGGCGGUAGGCCUAACACAUGCAAGUCGAACGGCAGCACAGUAAGAGCUUGCUCUUACGGGUGGCGAGUGGCGGACGGGUGAGGAAUACAUCGGAAUCUACUUUUUCGUGGGGGAUAACGUAGGGAAACUUACGCUAAUACCGCAUACGACCUACGGGUGAAAGCAGGGGAUCUUCGGACCUUGCGCGAUUGAAUGAGCCGAUGUCGGAUUAGCUAGUUGGCGGGGUAAAGGCCCACCAAGGCGACGAUCCGUAGCUGGUCUGAGAGGAUGAACAGGCACAACUGAAAUGAGAAAACGUCCCAAAUCCUAAGGGAGGCCGCAGUUGGGGAUAAUUGGAAAAGGGGGGAAGGCUGAACCCAGCAUACCGGGUUGGUGAAGGAGGCCUUUCGGUUGGUAAGGCCCUUUGUUGGGAAAGAAAAGCAGCAGGGUAAAACCCCGCUGUUCUGACGGUACCCAAAGAAUAAGCACCGGCUAACUUCGUG